UUCCCCUUCGGGGGACAAAGUGACAGGUGGUGCAUGGUUGUCGUCAGCUCGUGUCGUGAGAUGUUGGGUUAAGUCCCGCAACGAGCGCAACCCUUAAGCUUAGUUGCCAUCAUUAAGUUGGGCACUCUAAGUUGACUGCCGGUGACAAACCGGAGGAAGGUGGGGAUGACGUCAAAUCAUCAUGCCCCUUAUGAUUUGGGCUACACACGUGCUACAAUGGACAAUACAAAGGGCAGCGAAACCGUGAGGUCAAGCAAAUCCCAUAAAGUUGUUCUCAGUUCGGAUUGUAGUCUGCAACUCGACUACAUGAAGCUGGAAUCGCUAGUAAUCGUAGAUCAGCAUGCUACGGUGAAUACGUUCCCGGGUCUUGUACACACCGCCCGUCACACCACGAGAGUUUGUAACACCCGAAGCCGGUGGAGUAACCUUUUAGGAGCUAGCCGUCGAAGGUGGGACAAAUGAUUGGGGUGAAGUCGUAACAAGGUAGCCGUAUCGGAAGAUGCGGCUGGAUCACCUCCUUU
rnacentral:rRNA from 1 species